rnacentral:rRNA from 1 species
UACGGCUACCUUGUUACGACUUCACCCCAGUCGCUGACCUUACCGUGGCCUGCUGCCUCCUAAGUUAGCACACAGUCCUCGGGUAAAACCAACUCCCAUGGUGUGACGGGCGGUGUGUACAAGGCCCGGGAACGUAUUCACCGUGGCAUGCUGAUCCACGAUUACUAGCGAUUCCAACUUCAUGCUCUCGAGUUGCAGAGAACAAUCCGAACUGAGACGGCUUUUAGAGAUUAGCUCCUCAUCGCUGAGUGGCUGCCCACUGUCACCGCCAUUGUAGCACGUGUGUAGCCCAGCCCGUAAGGGCCAUGAUGAUUUGACGUCAUCCCCACCUUCCUCCGGCUUAUCACCGGCAGUCCCUCUAGAGUGCCCAACUUAAUGCUGGCAACUAAAGGCGAGGGUUGCGCUCGUUGCGGGACUUAACCCAACAUCUCACGACACGAGCUGACGACAACCAUGCAGCACCUGUCACCGGUCCAGCCGAACUGAAGGAAAGUGUCUCCACUAUCCGCGACCGGGAUGUCAAAAGCUGGUAAGGUUCUUCGCGUUGCCUCGAAUUAAACCACAUGCUCCACCGCUUGUGCGGGCCCCCGUUCAUUCCUUUGAGUUUUAGUCUUGCGACCGUAGUCCCCAGGCGGGGUGCUUAACGCGUUAGCUGCGUCACCAAACAGCAUGCUGCCUGACAACUAGCACCCAUCGUUU